rnacentral:lncRNA from 10 species
GCCCUGCUGCACCUGCUCCCUCUUAGUACUGAAUGCCCUACGAUCCCCACCGAAUGAGGAAGGACGCUAGAGGUUACAGGACUGGUCCCCGACCGCUCAGCCAGAAACAGGCUUUGAACCCUGCUGAACUCCGGUGGCACAGGCUGCACAAGGCUUGCGUCUCCCUGGAAGGGCCACUCCUCUCUGGUCAGCGAAAUCUCCUCCCCGCCCAGGAAUCUGGACGGCCCCUGCCAUUUGCCUGGUUGUUCCCCUACCCGAGUGCCCUCGAUUUUCCCCUCUGGUCGGGGCAGGAGCGGCAGGGCUGGAUGCCAGGGCCCCAGGGGCAGGGAGGUGAGUGGGCACCACUCCUUCCCCCACGGGUAAGGUGGACAUCCAGCUUCGGACCACAUCACAGACGCCCAGGCCCCCAGCCACAGCCGGGAUCACUCAGCUGGGUAACGUCUCCACUUCCCAGCUGGGCCAGAACUUUUCCAUGCUGCCAGGACUUGCAAGAAAACAGCUGUCUGGCUGACCCUGGACUCGGGGGGAUCAGUCAGCUGUGACUUUGCUGCUCACAGACACCUCGACAGGGAUCCCGCAGCUAUUGUCCAGAGAGACGUCUCACAGCAGCACGGUCUUUACCUCCUCUUCCAGGCAGGCGCCGUGAUCACCCCCACUUUACAGAUGAGAAAAGCCAGGCUGGGUGAUGCCAUGACUCAGGGUUCCCCAGCUUGUGAACUGGUAUUCGAGCCCAGGUCCAUCUGAGCCCCUGGGGUUAAUGCACUAAACCAGAAUUGCAGGAUUCCAUAGCGGCAGACCGCCCCACACAGGCCCACCUCUAACAAAGGAGAUGGGAUGGUUAGAGCUGGUUAUUUAAUGUGCUGUAAAGAAACCCCUGUCACUAAAUCUCCAUCUAGAGUUAUAUAUGUAACUGACUUUGAUUAUAGUCUAUGCAUUUAUUUAUGCAUUUAAAACAUUAUUCUGGGCAGGGAUCCACAGACUUUAGUGGAAUGGCAAAAGGAUCCAUGGCAUGAAUAGUGUUGAGAACCCUUGCUUUAGAACCUGCUGGUAAAAUCAUAAUGAGGAGGUGGAAAACACAGUGCGACUUCCAUGAGGGCGGGGCCUGCCUGUCUCUUGUUCCGGCAUCUAAAGGAGCUCUUGGUCAGGAAGAGCAUCUGAUUUCCCUAAGUUUACACCUUUUUCCUGUUCCCACCCCACUAUCUCCAUCAGUAUCAUCAAAGCUGUUGUAGAGUGCCCUGCAAAUGCAGCCUCAAGACAAACCCUUCUGGUGAGGCUGCUGCCAGGACAGUUCUCCCGUAUAAACCCUGGAGCAGCCAUGUCCCUCAAAAACCACCUAUGGGAGAGGUGAGUUCCAGAGGGGUGUGCAGAAAUGGCUCUGCAAAUCCAGUCCAGGUGCAAAUCCUGGCCCCAUGAUUCACUAGCUGGGUGACCUUGAGUGAUUUCCCUAACCUUUCUGGCCCUUGUUUCCUUAUCUGUGAUAUAGGCUUAAUCAUAGAACAAUAAAAAAUAUUUCAUAUUUGCCUGAUCACAUAUCUAUGCAUUUAUUCACCCACCCAUCCAACCAUUAGUCCAUUCACUCACCCAUCCAUCCAUCCAUCCAUCCACCCACCCAUCCACCUAUUCAUCCAACCAGCCAGCCAGCCAGUCAUCCAUGCACCCAUUCCUCCACCCACCCACCCAUCAAUUCAUCCAUUCACCCAUCUGUCCAUUCACCCAUCUAUCCAGUUAUCCAUCCAUUCUUCCAUCUACCCAUCCAUCCACCCAUUCCUCCACCCACCCACCCAUCAAUUCAUCCAUUCACCCAUCCAUCCAUUCACCCAUCUAUCCAGUUAUCCAUCCAUUCUUCCAUCUACCCAUCCAUCCACCCAUUCCUCCACCCACCCACCCAUCAACUCAUCCAUCCAUCCAUCCAUCCACCCAUCCACCUAUUCACUGGCCCAUCAUUCACCCAUCCACCUACCCACCCACGCAUUCAUUCACCCAUCCAUCUAUUCAUCUACUCAUCCACCCAUCCACCCAUCACUCCAUCUACCCAUCCAUUUUAUUUUUUGAUGUGUUUCAGAAUACAUACAUUUCCCCCUAAGUACUUCCACAUGCAAAUCAUUAAUCAGGCUUUAAUAUUUCAGAAACUUAAUUUUACUUCUAGGUAUUAAGGUGGCCAAGUCCUGCUUCCUUCUUGCCUCUCCCUACUCCCACCCUGCCUCUCCAGGCUGAGAUAUCCUAGGGCAAGAACCAGCAGAACCGUCUGAACUCCUCCCAGGCCCCUGGUUUCUGGAGAACCCUCUAUGGAGGAGAAUAAGGACAGCCUGAAGUUGGGCGGUGGAGGUGGGGGUUGCUCCUCCUGAAGCCCUUCAGUGACAGCCAAGCACUUGCUUUUCUGGCAGUUGAGGCUUUUACUUAACUUCCCCUGGGCGCCUCAUCAGCUUUGGCACUGGUGCAAACUCAUCACCUUGGACCAGCUGCCUCUAGAGGUGGUGAGCUCGCCAUCACUUGAAGUGGUUAAGCAAAGACUGAAGGAAGCUCUGGUGGGGGUGGGAGAAUGUUGUAGAGAAAAUUUAACCCAGAACAGGAUUGAACUACAUCGGGGCUUCGCAGCUUCUGCACUGUUGAUAUUUUGGGCUGGAUAACUGUUGCGGAGGCUGACCUCUGCACCGCACGGCAUCCUGCCAUAGUCCUGGUCUCAAUCCAUUAUAUGCCAGUAGCACCCACCCCCUAAGCAAAAUGACAACCCAAAAUGCCUCCAGUCAUUACCGAAUGUUCCCUGGGGGGUGAACUUGACGCCAGGCGAGAACAUCUGGACUAGAGGAAACCUACAGUCCCUUGGACCUUGAAACUCCACGGUUGAUCCUGCUCCCCAGGGCACCUCCCUCCUCGGUCCCCUCUGUUCACGGUCCUGUAGCCUUUCCGUUGCCAUGGAAACUGGAAUUGUCUUUGCCUCUUUUUCCUCCUUUGCCCACCCCAUUUACACAUUCUUUCAACCAACAAACUCCCAUGUGCUGGGUCCAGGGAACACGGAUGCAAACAGCCCCCCGUCUCCUCUUCUGGGGCGAGAGUAACAAUGGUCUGACCUCCCUAAGCGGUUUGAGGAUUAAGUGAGACGGACAAUGCCAGGAAACGCCGAGCAAAAUGCAGGCGCGGUGGACGUCGUCAGCUCUUAGAAUUGCAAGCUCCAAAGAGGAGGGGGGCACCAGGCGACAGAGGAGUGGCUGGUUCUGGCUGGGGGACCCGGGGGCGGGGGAAGCAGAUACCUCGCCUGCCGUUGGAAGCAGGGUCCGCAGGGUGGAGGCGCUCUGAACAGCAGGGCACAGCAGGUGGCGGGGUUGGAAGCAGCACGUGUGUAGUAACAGAAAAGCCAGGGAGGCAAGUACCGCAAAGCCCCAGAACCCGUCUUGGGGCUUGGUCCUCGCCAUGGGGGCGCAAUGCCCCUGGAGGGUUUUAAGAAGACUGAGUGGCAUGGAUGGGGAGUGAGAAGGGGGCAGGAGUGGGGACGAAAAGACCAGCAGGCAGGCAGUUUCAGCAGCCCAGGAACUAGGCCGUGGGGGCUCACCCAGUGAGGGAGAAAGAGCCUGGGGGCGGAGCCAGGCUUUUGGAGGAGGAGCCGACCUCCCGGGGUGGGGCCAUGACUGUGGGAGGAGCCAUAUCUCCGUGGGGUGGAACUAGGUCUCCUGGGGGUGGGGCCAGGCUUGGGGGCAAAGCCAGGCUUCUGCAGAGAACCAAUGUCCCCUGGGGUUGGAGCCAUAACUCAGGGGAGAAUCCAGAUUUCCUUGAGGUGGAACUGGGUCUCGUGGGGAUGGGGCCAAGCCUGCAGCAGGAGCCAGAGCUCAAUGGAUUGGGCCAGGCCUUCUAGGGUGGGGCUAGGCCUGGGGGCGGAGCCAGGCUCCUGCAGAGAACCCAAGUCCCCUGGGGUUGGGGCCGUAACGGGGUAGAAUCCAGAUUUCCCUGAGGUAGAACUAGGUCUCGUGGGGAUGGGACCAGGCCUGGAGCAGGAGCCAGACUUCAAGGGGUGGGGCCAGGCCUCCUGGGGUGGUGCCUUGCUUGGCGAUGAGGCCAUGACUGUAGGAGGGGCCAGAUCUCCUUGGGGUGGAACCCCAUCUCCUAGGGGUGG